rnacentral:snRNA from 1 species
AUGAGUGACAUACGGUGGAAGCAGACGAUAGACAUGGAUCAGAUGCAGGACGUGAAAGACAAACUGAUGGUGAGGCCUAUCAAUGCCGCAGACAAUUCGUUUGAUCACGUUGUGCUCCUCGUGGUGGUAAAGGAAGAAAUCCAACCUGUGCUCGACAAGUAUAAUCCCACGCGAAACCCGGA